rnacentral:rRNA from 1 species
AGAGUUUGAUCAUGGCUCAGAACGAACGCUGGCGGCAUGCCUAACACAUGCAAGUCGAACGGGAUCCUGGCUUCGGUCAGGUGAGAGUGGCGGACGGGUGAGUAACGCGUGGGAAUCUGCCCAGUGGUGGGGGAUAACUGCGGGAAACUGCAGCUAAUACCGCAUGAGCCCGAGAGGGGAAAGAUUUAUCGCCAUUGGAGGAGCCCGCGUUCGAUUAGGUAGUUGGUGAGGUAAUGGCUCACCAAGCCUACGAUCGAUAGCUGGUCUGAGAGGAUGAUCAGCCACACUGGGACUGAGAUACGGCCCAGACUCCUACGGGAGGCAGCAGUGGGGAAUAUUGGACAAUGGGGGCAACCCUGAUCCAGCAAUGCCGCGUGAGUGAUGAAGGCCUUCGGGUUGUAAAGCUCUUUUGCCAGGGACGAUGAUGACGGUACCUGGAGAAUAAGCCCCGGCUAACUUCGUGCCAGCAGCCGCGGUAAUCA